CAAUGACAUCUGAGUUUCUAGUAUAGCACUUGCUGUAUAUAUGCCUCCCAUUGAUAUCCGCAUGAGCUGUUCAUAUGUUCUGGAGGAGAUUUAUGAUCAAAUACCUGUCAAAGUGAAAUGAAAAAUCCUAAUUUGUCUGAAAAUAUCCAUUUAAAAACAGUUAAAAGAUUUAGAAAGAUACCGUGGAGAAGGGAUAAUUAAGAAUGUGCCUUGUAUGUAUCUUCCUGAAUUCUGAGCCAAGUGGAACAAAGCAUUACAAUCCUACAAGCUGUUAGAAACAACUGACCAGGAAUCCAGAACAUUCCAAACUAAUUGUGUUUAUCCAGCCAGAACAGGGAGGAAUGCUCCUACAUUCAGUGAUGGAGAUAGCAUUGCUUACUACCCUCAUAAAUAUAAUCACUGAAGCAAGGUCUGGAAUAAAGAUGCUAAAGAAUUAUACACCAAUGCCCAACAUAAGAGGAAAGUUGUAUACAUAUAAAUCAUAUGCAGCUGUCACCUAAGUACAUUUUAAAAUUAAAGAAUUUGAGAUCUUUAAUAUUUUAAGUGUGCUGUAUAUAGAGAAUGUAAAUGUGUAGUUUAAUUUCAUGUACUUCUGUUUGUAGCAGAAAUAAUGACUAAGCAUAACAGUACAGUUUGCUAUUUUUAAAGAAAAAGCUUUUUUUUUUUUUUUUUAAAUCAGAGCCCGAGUUGCCAUCAAAACACAUAAAAUAGAGUCAGACUUCAUUGUAACCUAAAGAUACAGUGAUGUGUUCUGUAACACACUUUCACUUCAUUUACUGUGUAAAGUUAUUGUGAGAUAAUUUUGUUAUGUAGCAAUUGUCAAUUAUUAUGUUCCGCUCAGGAACUAGUCAGUAUUUAGAAUUUAAGCAU